AGCUGCCGUUUGAGACGGAUUCGGUGGAUCGAUAUAUUUCGGCUGGGAGUAUUGAGUAUUGGCCUGACCCGCAACGGGGAAUCAAGGAAGCAUACAGGGUUCUGAAAUUGGGAGGGAAAGCCUGCGUGAUUGGUCCUGUACACCCAACCUUCUGGCUAUCACGCUUCUUUGCUGACAUGUGGAUGCUCUUCCCUACAGAAGAAGAGUACAUUGAGUGGUUCAAGAAGGCUGGAUUUAAAGAUGUUAAGUUGAAGAGGAUCGGUCCCAAAUGGUACCGUGGUGUACGCCGACAUGGUUUGAUAAUGGGAUGCUCUGUGACCGGUGUGAAAAGAGAAUCUGGAGAUUCUCCUCUG
rnacentral:misc_RNA from 1 species